rnacentral:rRNA from 1 species
UACAGAGGUCUCAAGCGUUGUUCGGAUUCAUUGGGCGUAAAGGGCGCGUAGGCGGCUCGCUAAGUCGGGUGUGAAAACUCUGGGCUCAACCCAGAGCCUGCAUUCGAAACUGACGAGCUAGAGUUCUGGAGGGGAAAGCGGAAUUCCUGGUGUAGCGGUGAAAUGCGUAGAUAUCAGGAGGAACACCGGUGGCGAAGGCGGCUUUCUGGACAGAAACUGACGCUGAGGCGCGAAAGCUAGGGGAGCAAACAGG